ACUGUUCCUGUGAGCAUUUGAGCUUGUGACUCUAAGGGCAGUGCUUUCAGGAAGCUGUUUUCUAAAUCUUAACGUUACUUUUAGUGAUCUUUCUACUUAUAUUGCUAUUUAACACACCAUGUGGUUAUGUCACUUACUUAAUUAGAGUAUAAGGUCUGUAAUACCAGUAAGUAUGUGUUUUCUGUUUCUGGAUCUCAUCCAUGGUGCUGGUAUAGGGCCUUACACACUGUAGCAAGGUGCGAAAUUCAUCCACACUUCUCUUUAGUGCCUUGAUCACAAGAAUUUUUGGAGUUAAAAGGGCAAAGGAUGAACAUUCCAAAACAAAUAGAAUGACAGGGAGAGAGUUUUUCUCUCGUUUCCCAGAACUCUAUCCUUUUCUUCUCAAACAGUUGGAAACUGUAGCCAAUGCAGUAGACAGUGAUAUGGGAGAACCAAAUCGUCAUCCAAGCAUGUUUCUCUUACUUUUGGUGUUGGAGAGACUCUACGCUUCCCCGAUGGAUGGUACUUCUUCUGCCCUCAGCAUGGGACCUUUUGUUCCCUUCAUUAU
rnacentral:sRNA from 1 species